rnacentral:tRNA from 1 species
ACCGAUAGCUAUCGGUAUGGUAGAGCAAUACACUUUUAAUGUAUGGGUCCUGGGUUCGAAUCCCAGCGGGAUCA